rnacentral:tRNA from 1 species
CCUGUAGCUCAGUGGUUAGGGCACUGGCCAUCUACACCAGGGCUGGCAAGUUCGAACCUUGCCUGG